rfam:Schistosoma haematobium scaffold680_9, whole genome shotgun sequence.
AUUCAACUGACGAGUCGCAAAUAAAACAAAACACGCAUUCUGAAU